AUUGAACGCUGGCGGCAUGCCUUACACAUGCAAGUCGAACGGCAGCGGGGGAGAAGCUUGCUUUUCCUGCCGGCGAGUGGCGAACGGGUGAGUAAUACAUCGGAACGUGCCCUGUAGUGGGGGAUAACUAGUCGAAAGAUUAGCUAAUACCGCAUACGACCUGAGGGUGAAAGUGGGGGACCGCAAGGCCUCAUGCUAUAGGAGCGGCCGAUGUCUGAUUAGCUAGUUGGUGGGGUAAAGGCCUACCAAGGCGACGAUCAGUAGCUGGUCUGAGAGGACGAUCAGCCGCACUUGGACUGAGACACGGCACAGACUCCUACGGGAGGAAGCAGUGGGGAAUUUUGGACAAUGGGCGAAAGCCUGAUCCAGCAAUGCCGCGUGUGUGAAGAAGGCCUUCGGGUUGUAAAGCACUUUUGUCCGGAAAGAAAUGGCUCUGGUUAAUACCUGGGGUCGAUGACGGUACCGGAAGAAUAAGGACCGGCUAACUACGUGCCAGCCGCCGCGGUAAUAC
rnacentral:rRNA from 1 species